UUAACUAAUUUAAUCUUUUGAUUAAUUAAUAGAUAGUGAUAUAUUGACAUGAGUUUAGAGACCUAAGUGACAGUAAAGAAAUAACGCAUUAACUAAUACAUUAAAGGUGCACAGCGGCACAAGCGCAGGUGCCGGUGUGCCGACUCUCACGAGACAUCCUUAAACCAAGCCAACACGUCAGUCCUCCUGUAAACAAAAAUCUAACUUUUUUUCACAACUAAUUACGUUAGAUUCAUAACAGAAACUAAAAAUGUUAAUUUUUCUUGUAAUUGAAUGACUCGAAUGAUGAGAUUAGCUAGGUUUUGAUACCCACCAUGUACUCUGCACUGGAUGGGAUUUCCGUUUCCUCAAACUGGUUGUGAUUGCUUUCUUCAGUCUCUUCUUUUCGUUUUCCAUUUAUUUCUUGAGUUACGGUUCGUGGGUUUAAAUUUGAUUGAGUUGCGUCCCUUCCCCGUCUACUUUUUCGGCGAGUCAGCUGCUGGUUUACAUCUUUUGUUCUUAUUGUCUUCAUACUGCUCGAUGAAAUGUCUCGCUGACGGGACCUGGGUUACAGACGACACAGAAUAAGAAUAUUAUUUUACACUUAAGUUUUUACAUCAUUUUUUCAGUGUCGUGUAUUCAUUGAGGCGGUCCAAACCAUCUAUAUACCAAUGAAUAUCGUGCGUACAGGUUACAGAGAUUAAAUUUCAAUAUACAGGCUGAUACCUGGUCCUGGGUGGAUGUGUGCAGCUGCUGCAACCAGUGCCGCUGCUAGCGGCGCCUUAGUUGCACGGUGGCUGUUCAUAUGAUUUGAAUGUCCCAAAGAAUACGGUAUUCUUUUUUUCUUCUCUGCCAUUCUUCCUCUUAGAGCACGUAAAAUGGGGUGUGGGAUGCAGAUAAUUAUUUUUGAUAAUUCAAUUUUAGGUACACUGAGUAUCUGUUGAGUUGGAGUGUCUUAAGAGUUUUUGGCCUUUCCUUCCCGUGAAUCUGGACGCUCUGAUUCUGGAAAACUUUUAAUAUAUGUUGUUAAUGUGUUUAAUCUUACAGCAUUGUUGCUUGACUUCAGAAUCUUAGAUGCCCUAAUGGUUGCUCCAUUUGUUUAGACGUGCUGCUGAAGAAAAACAUCAAUCUUCAUUCGAAUUGUUUUGAUGGUUCCUUAUGUUUAUUUCUCAUGGUGCCCGGCAAUUUUUCAGAAACUGCAAACUCCUUUUUCCUGUAUGUAGCAAUCAGCAUUUUGGGUGUUCUAAGAAAAGUUCCAUUAGAUGGAUAUAUGCCCAUCAACAGUUCCGAAAGAAGAAAACUGUUUAUCAAAUUAAUGGACGGAAGAAGGAAACUCUCGGAACAGACAAGAAAGUGACUUCGGACCAAAAGGUUUAUGCCAGGGAUAUCAUCAGAAAUAUAUCAAAUAUUUUGAGAUAUUCAACCUGGGAUUUGGCUCGGGAAGAGCUGCAAAAACUGUGUGUAAGAUGGGACUCUUAUACUAUCAACCAAGUUCUCAAAACCCACCCACCAAUGGAGAAAGCAUGGUUGUUUUUCAACUGGGCGUCUAAAUUAAAAGGUUUCAAGCAUGACCAAUUUACUUACACAACCAUGCUGGAUAUUUUUGGAGAAGCUAGGAGAAUUUCGUCAAUGAACUUUGUCUUUCAGCAGAUGCAAGAGAAAGGGGUCAAGAUAGAUGCAAUCACUUACACUUCGCUUCUUCAUUGGUUUGCCAAUGAUGGGGAUGUUGAUGGAGCAGUCAAGGUGUGGGAGGAGAUGAAAGCUAAGCAUUGUCAUCCAACAGUUGUCUCUUAUACCGCUUAUAUGAAGGUUCUGUUUCACUACAAUAGAGUGAAGGAGGCUACUAAAGUCUGCAAGGAGAUGCUGCAAUCUGGUUUUUCUCCAAAUUGUUACACGUACACUGUCUUAAUGGAGCAUCUUGCUUAUUCUGGAAAAUACAAAGAAGUUCUGGAGAUGUUUAACAAAAUGCAAGUAGCCGGUGUCUUACCUGACAAAGCAACUUGCAAUAUUCUGAUUCAGAAAUGUUGCGAAACAGGGGAAACAUGGGCAAUGAAUAAAAUACUUCAGUAUAUGAAGGAAAACUCUAUUGUCCUUCGUUACCCGGUUUAUCUGGAAUCCCUUGAAACUUUAAAAGCUGCCAGUGAGAGUGAUGUUCUCCUAAGGCAAGUCAAUCUGCAUUUUUCUACUGAAUGUGCCACAAAGGAUGACAUAAACAACUGCGAUGCAAUUGUUUCUGAUAACAAUGCUGUUGUAGAUAUAGGGCUUGUAUUAAGUUUCUUGAGGAGGAAGAACUUUUUGGCUGUUGACAGCUUGCUUGCCAGCAUGAUGAAGCAGAACACUCAACUGGACUCUAAGACAAUCUCCACCAUAAUUGAGGUGAAUAGUGCUCAUUGCAGACCAAAUAGUGCAUUAUUGGCCUUUGAAUAUGGUGUGAAAAUGGGUGUAAGAAUUGAAAGAACUGCAUAUCUUGCCUUGAUGGGUGUCUUCAUAAGAACAAAUUCAUUUCCAAAGGUUGUUAACGUUGUUGGGGAAAUGAUUGGGGUUGGAAUUUCUCUUGGAAUGUCUUUGGGUGCAAUCUUAAUCUACAGGCUUGGCUUAGCCAAGAAGACUGGUUGUUCAGCAAAGAUAUUUGAUUUGUUGCCUGAUGAGCAGAAGAACACAGUGACUUACACCGCUUUAAUUGCUGCCUAUUUCUCUUCAGGUCAAGCUAAUAAAGGACUGAAAACAUUCACAGCCAUGAGAAAUAAAGGGCUCCAUGCUACAUUGGGCACAUAUAAUGUGCUACUAUCAGGUCUUGAAAGAAGUGGCAGAGUUGAUGAAGUAGAACAUUUCAGGAAGGAGAAGAAGCAGCUGGAAGCCAAUGGUCAUUCUCAAAACAUGGAUCUGUUGGAAGAAACACUUUGUAACUGCCUGUUUGCUGGGGAUACAAUGUUCUAACAGUAAAAUUGGACCAUAGACUCAGAAGAGUCUUCCAAUUGCUGUAUGAGAUGGUAAAACGUUACUGUGAAUAUUGGUCUGCCCACAAGACCAGAUGGCCUGGAUAAAACGGAGGGUGUCAAAAUGGAGUAAUGCUUUUUUCCAUGAAAGUUAAAAACUCUGAUGGAAACUUUGUAGUUCUGCGCAGCAUUGUCAUUCACACUCAUUAAAGGUUCAAUGAAGUUUAACAAAAUGGCUCGCAUACUGCAAGAGAAAGUAAUGUCUUCUACUCAGUUUCUGUAGGUGACAUGUCCAUGCAUGGAAGUGUUGCACCAGGGAUGUUGAGCGGAUUUGGGACAUUCCUUCUGAAGGUAACAAACAAGUGAUGCUUCCUUUUCAAAUAAGUCAUGAGGUACGAACGAAAUUGCUGAAGUGUAUUAAAAAAGGAUUAGGGUGCAGCUUGUAGUUUAGGAGAGGAGCGACAACUUUCUAUCCAGCUUUUGGUGAUUUUAAUUUGUACUGAUUGUUAACGGUUUUAAUUUGGCUACAAAUAGAAGUCUUAAUCAUGCUUGUCGGUCAAUUGAUUAUGUUUAGGGUACCACAAUUCUGUGUGGAACAUGGUCAUGUCUUAGCUUGUCGUAUAUUAUGCAUAUAUCAAUUUCCAU